UUCCGAAAGGAGUGCUAAUACCGCAUAAGACCACGCCCUCGAAAGAGGAAGCGGUCAAAGCUGGCCUCUAUACAUAAGCUAGCGCUUGAGAAUGAGCCCGCGGAGCAUCAGCUAGUUGGUGAGGUAAUGGCUCACCAAGGCUUAGACGCUUAGCUGGUCUGAGAGGAUGAUCAGCCACACUGGAACUGAGACACGGUCCAG
rnacentral:rRNA from 1 species